AAAAGGGGAGAAAAAUGUCAUAUAAAAAUAGAAACAAAAUUGUCAUGUAAAUAGAAAGUUAAAAGAUUUCUAACCAGAAGCAUUUUGGUUUUCACAUGGAACACUGCUAUGAGACUGAAAUUAAAAGACCUAAUUUCAAGUACUGAUGAAGUCACCAUUACGUAAUUUCAAGCCCAUUGGGUGUUUCUUGGUUCCUUCCAAGUUUACAAAAGAAUCCUCAGCCCUGCCUGGUCCAGUAGGGCCAUCACCCGAUAAGUUCCAGUUUCCAGACCCAAAGCCUCAGAUUUCCAAGCAUUAUCUCAUACUGAUAGCAGCAGAAAUAGGAAAUGGGAAGCAUAGACAGGGGCUCCCCCCCAUGCAACAGACAUUCUGCAUUUCCCAAAAGACUUCUAGAAGCCAGCAGUUGCUUUGUGCAGUAAUAACCUGCAGGAAUGACUAUCUGUCAAGGAGUGCGAGUCCCCUUCUGACACGUCAACACCAGAGAGACAUGGCUUACUUGCAGAGCUAGGCCCAAGGAGUUUGCUGACAAGGCUUUUAACAAAACAAUAACUAAUCGGGUGCAGUAUUGCUCUACAGUAUCUAUCUAUCCUGGUCUGAAAUGAGGAUAGAUGCAGUUGAUUAUUCUCAAAUAAUGUGAUUUCUGGUUAAUAAGUUGACAUAUCCAUAUUUCAUGUAGCCAUUCUUGUAAGCAGAUCCCCGUGCAAAAAAAUGUUUAUGCAGCAGAUCAGAUUACAGGAUCAGCAACAAGAAGCCAGCUGGUCAAGGCCAUGUAACUCUUGGUGCAAGGUGAAUACGGAGGAAGUGGCAUUCUGUGUCUCAGAGAGGUUGGACACAUUUAUACAGCCAUAAUUCUGCAAUUUCUACAACUCCUUCUAUGAGCAUCUUCUGUAUGAUACAGUCCCAACAUUGGCAAAGUUCUGUUUUCUCAAGCCAUGCUGAUGAUGGCUUGCGUUUGCUCCCUCUCUUUCGGCAUGCCUCCAAGCCCCUUUUGGUGUCACUGAAACAAUUUGUGUAUAAGAACAAACGCCUACAAAUUGAUCACAGCAUCCAGAAUCUGGUUCUUAUCCAUGAGUGUAGCAUGGUUUCGGAGUACACUACAUGUUUUUAGGAUGGAGGACGAUCAGUACACGGAAAGUGAAGAGUGUGCUGCAGCCACCCAGCACAGCAGAGGGCUGGCCUCACUAAGUAAGAUCUCAGGUUUCUAAGUGGUUUCUUCUACAAUAUCUCUGUGUUUAUCAUUCUCAGACAAGCUGGGAUUCACAUGAUGUUGACAACCGUAAAAAUUCUCUGUAAAUUGCAAUUGGAUCUUUGAAUCUCCAGACAGUUGAGAAACUAGUUUCUCUCACCUGUUUAAUUAACCAUGUCAUGUUUUCCAAAGAGAAUUAAUUGUCUCAUUGAAGCAGUAAGGAGACUCAAAGGUUCAAAAGAAAAAUAAAUAUGAGUAUGUAGCAGAGUAAACAUUUAUCCAAUAAACAUUUUCACAGCUGAGUUUCAAACUUCUCAUGUUCCAGUUUCUUACAUUUUAUCAUCUCAUCCCACUCAGUCCAGGCACUGGAUCUCUUGAAAAUACCCCUCAUGGGAAAACACCACCUCAGAAAUCA